UUCAAAGCUCUUGUAUUCUUAUAAAGAUUUUUUCUGUGCAGUGUCAUGUUUGAAAGACUUGCAAAGAAUGGAAGGGAGUUUGAGGAUCAGACCAGGGAACACCUGAAUGAGUAUGCUGAUGCGGGUUUGAGAACAUUGGUGCUUGUAUAUCAUGAACUUAAUGAGAGAGAAUACUGGCAAUUCAAUGAGGCCAAGAAAUCGGUCAGUGCAGAUCGAGAUACACUGAUUGAUGAAGUGAUAGAGAAGAUAGAAAAGGAUUUAAUCCUUCUUGGUGCCAUAGCUGUUGAGGAUAAGCUGCAAAACGGGGUUCCUAAAUGCAUUGACAAGCUAGCAUAAGCCGGAAUAAAAAUAUGGGUCUUGACUGGAGAUAAGAUGGAGACCACCAUCAAUAUCGGCUUCGUGUGUAGCUUGUUGAGACGAGAAAUGAAGCAGAUAAUCAUCAGUUUGGAGACACCAGAUAUUCUAGAACUAGAGAAAGCAGGUGAUAAGAGUGCCAUCACUAAGGUAAACAGGCUUUCCUUUUCAUGAAUUUUCAUUGGGGCAUUCAAGAUUCGGUGCUUUUUGUAGGCUGACUAUAUGAUUUUUCUUUCCUGAGGUGUGGCUGAUUAUAUGAUUUUGAGAAGUGACUUAUCCACAAGUGGUCUAUGGCCCACUGAUUAUGCAUAAUAAUGAAGUGAGGUGAUAAUCUAAUGACUAAAAUACCCUUGCAAUAAGUCAGCGACUUAUUCCACUUAAGUACCCUUGACUAUUACCUGAUUGUU